AAGUCUGCAGUUGUUUAAUGUGUACAGAGUUCUCCAAAAUGGAGAAACCAAGUGUUAAACAUUAUUGAAAAUACACAAGUUACCUACUCAUGUUAGCAUAGCAAGUUGUUUCUACAAAUAUAUACAUUGCCCAGGCACAAAGACAGUUUUAAAGAUACCACUAUUUCCACUUGUUCUUCUUUUCAAAGUUAUUAAUAAUUAAUAAGGGUCCAGUUCCAGCCUUUGCUCAGAUAAAGCUGUCUAAGGUGGCAGUGAAUUUCACCUCAAAAAGGACUUGCAACUUGACUUCCAUCCCUUCAUCUCACAGCUGGAUUUCUCCCAAGUGAUCGAUGUCAGACUCAAUACGAGAAAUAUUGGAUAGCACGUUUCAGCCCAGUGACCACAGCUACAAAUACUCUGGCACAAAUGGUACCACAAGACUUCUGCAAGAUGGGCUCUUGAACAAUGUGGGACUAUAUGCGGCCAUUAAAAACACAUACAGUGUUUGCUUGUGCUGUGUCUUUCACUUAACAGUUUCACACUUCUUAGUAAUGACCUUAAGUUUUCUAACUGAAGCAAGGGAGUAAAAAGCAUAAAGAAAGGUUGGCAUUUAAAGGAAGAUACUCAGACAACAAAAAACAGCUCUGCUGACAUCAUUUGUGCUACGGCAAUUAAUAUCAGCUGAUAAACUGCCCUUUAUGCAAUACAUACAUACUUACACUGUGAUAUUGUACACAUUUAAUAUACAUAUAUACACUGUGAGAACAUUUUAACUCAACCACAUAGGACGUGUCACUAAAAUGCAUAUGCAAUAUAGGAAAAAAUCUAAAUACACAUGCACUCUAGCUGCACUGAAGAUUAUAAUUUAUAAUACAGAUUACUGCGCUAUUUGAUUUCAGCCCUAAAACUAAUUCCCUUUGUAGCAAGCAUUUUUACAUCUUUUUUCCUAAGUCACUUUGGCAUCUAUAAACUAAAGAGUAAUGCUUUUCUAUCCUUCAACUCAGAAAGUUGUUCUGAGGGAAUUUGAAUCAAUAGUGUGUCAGAUUAACAAUGCAUUAUUCACCAUGUUUAAAAUAUUUUAUUGACUCUUUCCUAAUUUUGGUGGUUAGUGAUAGCUGUGGUUUUUAACUGGGCUUCCCACUCUGAAAAAGUUCAUUUCAGAUCUGCCUGUGAACUCCUUCUGCAGAUCAAAUUAGUGAUACUAUUCUUUCUUGACUUCCUUACUUAGCAAAGAGGAAGCCAAAAUAUAACAACAUGUAUCCAUACCACUGUUAAAGAAAGUAAUUACAUCACUUGUGGCUCGCUUGGGAUUAGCCAAGGGAAUCCUGUAACCUGUAGUAUUAAGGAAACUGUAGUACUGAAUCCUGUAACCUGUAGUAUUAAGGAAACUACUAAACUAUGUUGUAUGCUUCGAAGUGAGAAGGUCCAAACCAGGGCAAGUAAUAAAUGUAAACAGAUGCUUUGUGAAUGUGUUAGGACUUACGUAUGCAUUUCAAAAGUAAGGUAAAGCCAAGACUCAUGUCUCAUAUAAAACAUGAAAAUUGUGUCUAGAGCUUUGUAAGUCACGUGUUAUGCACAUUUUUACUACAAAGCCACCAAACCUCCCUUGCAAGGAUGCAGGGUGAGCUUUACAUUUUAAGUCACUUUUUCUUAACUCCAUCAUGGGUUCUUACACAACUCUUACUGGAUUCAGGAAGAGCUUUUCUAUUAAAAAUGUGAUGUAAGUUAAGGAAAGGACUUUACAGAAAUUUGAAGUAGUACACAGACAAGUCCAACUCUGAUUGGCAUAGGACUUGUCGCUGCAUUUAAUGUCCAUCACUUACUUCUCAGAAUAGCUAUAGGAAGAGUAUUUCCCAAUAAUGUGAUAAUUUGCUCAGAUUCAAAACCUGCAAAAAAUAGUUUCCCCUAUCUUACUGCUCUUUGUUUUAUGUUUUAAGAGCAGGGGAGAGAGUAUACCAUGUUUUCCCUUUUGUCAUUCAGGUCUUCAUCUAAAUCUCCUUUUUCCCCCAUUAUCAUAAAAAGCCUGCUUAUGAGCAGAUGGAAAGGACAAUGUUGCUCUUGCCACAAAGACCAUGCAUUUUACCAGCAGGUUACCAGGUAAAGGAUUGAGUGGAUCAGCUGAAAUUGGAGUCUUGUAAAGGAAAUCGGUGCAGUGGUUAACCUUAAAACUGCAUUCAUGGAUGUACUCUUUAACAAAUGCAGCAAUGAAAUGAUAAACAUGACCCAAAUUCUGGCCCUUACUGGGGGAGGGGGAAAUGGAGAAAAAAAAGAUGUGCUCCUUGUUUAUCUAAGCCAUGCACACAGAAGGAAACAGGCUUGGAUGCUUCAGCCAGGACUCUGCAUUUCCAAGUGGAGAGGGGCCGCAAUCCAUCUGCCUCCUGAGUUUCAGCUGAGUUUUGGAUGACGGCAGCAAUUUAAAUGUCACUGUUUAAUAGGAUAACACAUUCGUAGGAAUAGACUUCGCUGCCUUCCUCCCACGAUGUCUUCAUCUCUCCAGGCAAAAAUCUCGGGUUUCCCUUGCCUGAUCCUUUCAAUGUCAUGAAAGCUCCAUGAACACACAUACAACUGUUUUCCCUAUCACAGCUGCAUCUCCAGCAACAGUUUCGGGGCUUGAGGAUUGCAGAGGGCAGCGAAGGGGGAUGUUCAACUUGACAACAAAUACUAGGACAGUAAAAAUAUAUUUGUGAGGACUACAAAUCCUAACAAGGAAGGGAGUAAACUUAGUUCAUUGUGGGUAUCUCCAGUGCUCUACUGCUGCUUUCCUGAGGUUGCACACACCAAGACACGCAGAGAAUGAGUCUCCCCGGUUUGCUCUUUAAAACUGGGCUUACAAGAAAACCUGUUCCAACAAAACGAGUUAGCAA
ensembl:lncRNA